rnacentral:rRNA from 1 species
CUACGUGCCAGCAGCCGCGGUAAUACGGAGGGUGCGAGCGUUAAUCGGAAUAACUGGGCGUAAAGGGCACGCAGGCGGUUAUUUAAGUGAGGUGUGAAAGCCCCGGGCUUAACCUGGGAAUUGCAUUUCAGACUGGGUAACUAGAGUACUUUAGGGAGGGGUAGAAUUCCACGUGUAGCGGUGAAAUGCGUAGAGAUGUGGAGGAAUACCGAAGGCGAAGGCAGCCCCUUGGGAAUGUACUGACGCUCAUGUGCGAAAGCGUGGGGAGCAAACAGGAUUAGAUACCCUGGUAGUCCACGCUGUAAACGCUGUCGAUUUGGGGAUUGGGCUUAAAGCUUGGUGCCCGUAGCUAACGUGAUAAAUCGACCGCCUGGGGAGUACGGCCGCAAGGUUAAAACUCAAAGGAAUUGACGGGGACCCGCACAAGCGGUGGAUGAUGUGGAUUAAUUCGAUGCAACGCGAAGAACCUUACCUGGUCUUGACAU